AUCGAACGCUGGCGGCAGGCCUAACACAUGCAAGUCGAACGAGUGGCGGACGGGUGAGUAAUGUCUGGGAAACCGCCUGACCGAGGGGGCUAACUACUGGAAACGGUAGCUACUGCCGCUUACCAUCCGAUGUGCCCAGAUGGGAUUAGCUAGUUGGUGGGGUAACGGCUCACCAAGGCGACGAUCCCUAGCUGGUCUGAGAGGAUGACCAGCCACACUGGAACUGAGACACGGUCCAGACUCCUACGGGAGGCAGCAGUGGGGAAUAUUGGGCAAUGGACGCAAGCCUGAUGCAGCCAUGCCGCGUGAAUGAAGAAGGUCUUCGGGUUGUAAAGUGCUGUCGUCAGAGAGGCGGUACCCACAGAAGAAGCACCGGCUAACUCCGUGCCAGCAGCCGCGGUAAUAC
rnacentral:rRNA from 1 species